rnacentral:rRNA from 1 species
UACGUAGGGGCCUAGCGUUGUCCGGAUUUAUUGGGCGUAAAGAGCUCGUAGGCGGCUUGGUAAGUCAGGUGUGAAAUCUCCACGCUCAACGUGGAGGGGCCACCCGAUACUGCCAUGGCUUGAGUCCGGUAGGGGAGUGUGGAAUUCCCGGUGUAGCGGUGAAAUGCGCAGAUAUCGGGAGGAACACCCGUAGCGAAGGCGGCACUCUGGGCCGGUACUGACGCUGAGGAGCGAAAGCGUGGGGAGCAAACAGG